rnacentral:rRNA from 1 species
UUGCAUAUCAAAAGCGGAGGAAAAGAAACCAACCGGGAUUGCCUUAGUAACGGCGAGUGAAGCGGCAAAAGCUCAAAUUUGAAAUCUGGUACCUUCGGUGCCCGAGUUGUAAUUUGGAGAGGGCAACUUUGGGGCCGUUCCUUGUCUAUGUUCCUUGGAACAGGACGUCAUAGAGGGUGAGAAUCCCGUGUGGCGAGGAGUGCGGUUCUUUGUAAAGUGCCUUCGAAGAGUCGAGUUGUUUGGGAAUGCAGCUCUAAGUGGGUGGUAAAUUCCAUCUAAAGCUAAAUAUUGGCGAGAGACCGAUAGCGAACAAGUACAGUGAUGGAAAGAUGAAAAGAACUUUGAAAAGAGAGUGAAAAAGUACGUGAAAUUGUUGAAAGGGAAGGGCAUUUGAUCAGACAUGGUGUUUUGUGCCCUCUGCUCCUUGUGGGUAGGGGAAUCUCGCAUUUCACUGGGCCAGCAUCAGUUUUGGUGGCAGGAUAAAUCCAUAGGAAUGUAGCUUGCCUCGGUAAGUAUUAUAGCCUGUGGGAAUACUGCCAGCUGGGACUGAGGACUGCGACGUAAGUCAAGGAUGCUGGCAUAAUGGUUAUAUGCCGCCCGUCUUGAAACACGGACCAAAUAU